CGACUGUUUACCAAAAACACAGGACUGUGCGAAGUCACGAAGACGACGUAUACGGUCUGACGCCUGCCCGGUGCUGGAAGGUUAAGAGGAGAGGUUAGAGCAAUCGAAGCUUUGAAUCGAAGCCCCAGUAAACGGCGGCCGUAACAAUAACGGUCCUAAGGUAGCGAAAUUCCUUGUCGGGUAAGUUCCGACCUGCACGAAUGGCGUAACGACUUCCCCGCUGUCUCAACCAUGGACUCAGUGAAAUUGAAUUCUCGGUGAAGAUGCCGAGUACCCGCGGCAAGACGGAAAGACCCCGUGAACCUUUACUAUAACUUGACAGUGGUAUUCGGGUGGAUCUGUGUAGGAUAGGUGGGAGACUUCGAAGCGGGUGCGCCAGCAUCCGUGGAGUCAUCGUUGAAAUACCACCCUGGUCCUCCUGGAUGCCUAACGUGGGCGGCUGAAGCGUCGUCACGGACACUGUCUGGUGGGUAGUUUGACUGGGGCGGUCGCCUCCCAAAAGUACGGAGGCGCACAAAGGUUCCCUCAGCCU
rnacentral:rRNA from 1 species